CAGUUAAGCUGUGCACACGGUGGACCCUAUCAGGACCCUGGCAUAUGAACACUGGGUCAGCUGAGCCAGGACCUCCUCAGAGACUGGGAAGGUGAGUUCUUCCUGUCUGAAACCCCAAGGAAGGCCAGAAGCAGCCCUGAGUCAGAGAGCAUUCUGGUUCCACACUCAGAGUGGCUGUGACCAUCAGUCCCCUUCCCAGCCUGCUCCUCCAAGAAUUAGUGUCAGAAAGUUACAAGGUGGACUUGGCACAGAACUACAAGAGUGUUCCUCUGGUCCUCCACGUAAGGACUAAGGACCAGGGAGGAUACCAGGCCGUGCUGCUGGGCUAGAAGGCUGUCAGAGUUGACUGACUAUGGAAGGCUCGGCUCUCAUCGCAUCCCAACUAGACCCACAAUGUCCCUGCUCACUCAGCCCCAACACAAUAAAUGCCUGUGACAGAGGAA
rnacentral:lncRNA from 1 species